rnacentral:misc_RNA from 1 species
ACCGGGUCCACCGCCAUGGGACGCAGGGUCGGCCCGCGCCUCGCCGCGCGGUUUGCCCGGAGCAUUCUGGAGCUUGGCGGCAACAACGCCUCGAUCGUGUGCCCGUCGGCCAACCUUGACCUCGCCGUUCGCGCCAUCGCCUUCGCCGCCAUCGGCACCGCCGGCCAGCGCUGCACAUCGCUGCGCAGACUGUUCGUUCAUCACGGUAUUUAUGGCACCUUUGUCAGGAAGCUGAAGCAGGUCUAUGCAUC